UGGUUUGUCCUUGUGGUAAGAGAACUAGCAUCAAUUAGUGCAGACUUUGCUUUUUAUGCAAGAAUUUGUUAAGGUAAAUAUUCCAUAUUAUAUCCAUGAUUCUGAAGAAACAUUGUGCAACAAUUUCCUGUAAUAUAUAUCUUCGGAUGAAUUGGUAGUCACACACCCACGACACUUUACCUUUGAAGCCUGUAUAUAUUUGUGAGUGUACAAGCAUAAUUAGUUAUAGGGGAGAAAGAUGCUGCUCUUCUCUCGAAGACCACAAAGGUUCAUGCCCUUUGCCGAUUGAUUUUUCUUUAUUGUAUUGAUCAGCUUUGCCAAGUCAUUUGUGGUAUUUAGCAUUCUCAAAUUUUUAUAUUUAGCUAAAUUUAAUCUUGACCUGAUUUGCUCUGCCCAAUACACGCAUGAUGCCUUUUCUUUUCCAUCAACUGGAUGCAAGAUUAGUUUACCCUUUAGACUUUGUGUUAGAUUAGCCUUUCCUGUAUAUCUUUGAUGGAUCAACUGUGUUCGAUUGUAGGUACUGUAUAUACGUUCUUUGAUGGAUCAGCUGCGUUAGAUUGUAGAUACUGCUGAGAACAAAGUUGUAUUUGGAUAUGAUAUUAGUUUUACAAUCAUUUUUUUUGCUAAUUUUAAUCUGAUGCAAAAGAGUUCAGUAUAAUUAAAAUUUGGUUUCAUACAGAAGCUCCAUCAUUGGAAUCAGUAUACGUCUGCUGAUAAAUCCCUUUGUAUGAUCAUGCUUUUUAGGAAUUGAUAUUCCAAUCAAUCUGUUGAUGUGGUGUUUGUCGGAGGCGAAGGGUAGCGACGGUUUCAUUCUGAGAUCGUCUUCCUCGAGGUACAUUCAUGAGUCAGUGCGUCACUUCAGUUCACCUUACCACAAAUGCUUUGCGGGCUGCUCUCUCAUCUGAGUAUGUACGCCUUGUAUAUUGCAGUUCUUCCUAAGCGAGUAUUAUUGCAGAUCCCAGAAGAAGACUAACUUCUGCUUGUUUCCACCACCACAAUAUUUUCUUCAUUGGCAGGAUUACUGCUACAACCAAACUUAGAAUCAUGCUAGGUAUGCAUAUUCGGAGUAUAAGAUUAUGAUGACAAGUUCUGAGAAUCCGAGCAUCUGAGGUGAGCUUCCCGGCGAUGGCGGCGACGCUCGUGGGCAUCGCGGCGCUUGGGGAUGCAGCAGAUCCCCACCAGGCCGUGCUGGCACUUGGGGUACUCCCCGACGACGACGGCCCAGCGGCGGAUGGUGCGAGGGAGGCCGGCCACCGCGACGAGUUCCUCUUCCUCUCUCCCCGAUCUAGGUCAGAUCCCGUUUAACCCCCCUCCUGCCCUGAUUGCUUGUGCCAUGAUUUGCUCCGUGUUUGGAUGAGGAAGUAGACCAGCAGGAGGAAGAGAGGAUCUCAGGACGCGCUCCUUAUUGGAUUAUUGAAAUAUGCAGUAAUAAGAGAGAUUAAACGUGUUUAGAAGAGAGAGCACUAAGAUAAGAAGCAGCGAAGAAUAGAAUAGAAUAGCAAGUCAUAGUUUUAAGAGUAAAAAGAAUGAGAGAGUAACUAAGAAAUUAGAACAGAGAGAAGAUUUGCAGAGUUAAAAGAGUAUGAAUCCUACACUUUCUAGCUGAGAAUAGAUAGAGAGAAAGCAAGACACAAUCAGUUCUAGACACCAUAAAACCAUAAGUUGUAGCCUUGUACAGACAAGCAGAAGUACAAGAACAUGAGAUGAUGCAAAGAAGAGAGUGAUAUAGUGAGAAUACAUAAGUAAAUCUCGUCCGUACCUAAUUUGGGGGAAAAGAGAGAUGAAUUUGGGAGAGUCUUCUUCAGUCCAUGAUUCUUGGGGGCUGUAGAUUUUUUUGGUAGUGUACGUGUUGUGUCGUACCCACAAAUAUCUGUUCUGCACCAUGAUAGCAUGAGCUUGCUGCAGCCAUAUGGUUCUUAAGAGUAUGGUGCUUGUUAAAAAAAGAGUUUGAUAGUCUGAUUUGGUUCUCAUGGUGGUAUGUUUCCUAUCAUCUCCUUUUUUAGUUUCUAACUUUAUGCUUUCAUUUUUUCUCUUGGCCAGCAAGAGCAGUAGGAGGCGGCGGGGAGGAUGAGCAAGGAGGCGGCGGGAGGAAGAGAGAUUCUUGGCGGCGCGCUUGCCUUAUUGGACAUGUUGUGCAGCUCACUGUUUUUUUCUCUUGCCAUCAUCUCCAAUAGUGUCGAGUCCCCUUCCCGGCGCCAAUUGCAACACAUAUCUCCUUUGACUGAUUAGCCAUUGUUUCCCGCAGCCGGUUUAGUUUUGUCUCGAACAUCUGUUUUCUUUGAGAUUUGUUUUUGUCGUGUGCUGAUUAUUUAGACAUCCUCUCUGCCACCACAACCUAUCCAAGCAAGCAACAGAUCGAGGAGGAUGGAGGCACGGCGCGACGACGACCGUGGCAUAGAUCAAGAGCAUGGUCAUGGGCUCAUGGCCAGGGAGCGAAUCAGGCAUCCUGGAUCACGACGGAAGGUGGAAGCUGCGAGAGCUGCCCGAAGAAGAGGGCGAUGACAUGGGGUGGAGGCCGAGGAAGAGGGCGACGAAGAGGGGGUGGAAGAGGGUGUGUCUGUGGUUAUCGCCUUUCGAGACGACGCGACUUGAUGAUUUAGAUUCGCCUUCCGAGAUGAUGCGACGCGGCAAUUCAGAUUUCUCUCCUUCCUCGCCUCAAUGUCAUGCUCUGCUUCUCUAGCUUGUAGGUUGUGGCCUUUCUCUUCUCCUCUUGUUUCCUUGCAUUCUGAUCAAGCCAUGGUGCAUAUGUUGGAAAUAUGCCCUAGAGGCAAUAAUAAAUGGUUAUUAUUAUAUUUCUUUGUUCAUGAUAAUUGUCUAUUGUUCAUGCUAUAAUUGUAUUAUCCGGAAAUCGUAAUACAUGUGUGAAU
rnacentral:lncRNA from 1 species